CUCAGGGACAGAGGGCUCCAAAGCUUGGGACACACACCCCGAGUACGGGGCUGUCACCGCCGCCAGCAGGACAGGCGGCCACGCAAGGACAGGCCCAAGCCCUGGCUACAGGGAGGCCUUGGCCACAGAACUACCGUGUGGCUCUGAUCUGCACUAAGGAAAAUAGUAGGAAGACAGGACACUCGCUGCGCUCGCAGGACUAAGAGGGAACACCCCUUUUGCGGCAUGCACCAAAGUCCUCCAUUCCCCCCUGGGAAGUCAAAGCUAAGCUGCAGCCAUCUUUGUGGAGGCCUAAAGGGAAAGCACAGCCGCUCAACCACUCCACAAACACAAACAAGGAAAGGAAGGGGAACACGCACACACAGGCACGACUUUCCAGAAGGGAAGGACAACGCAGCACAGCCAACACCUGGGAAUAAACCCACAACCACGGGCAACAGACAAGAGCCUGUGACCUGUCCCUAGGCUGCACGGAGGCCACGGACCUCAACGUGCCAAGGGGCUUCUCAGGUAAAGCCAACGGCCAAAUGCCGUGACGCACACCCCGAGUACGGGGCCGUCGCGUUGACAAGCCACCAUCAGGCAAUAAUGCCGAGGGGCCGGGGGAGGAAGAGGGGCAGGGAAACGGCACUACCCUGCUUACAGGGUGGCCUUGGGGUCCAGCGAGCUCCAUUUCCCACUCAGGUGCGGAGAGGUGGCUCUCGCCCUCCGUUACAGGGGGCCACGCUCCCCAGGCAGCCAAAGGAGCAGCAAGGCAAAAGGCCAACUACAGCAAAGACCCGAGCCCCGCUUACGGGGAGGUUGCCCAGCACAACGCCAGCCUGGUCACCAAAGGCGCCGGCAGCUCUCAACUCAAACGUGACUGUGCCCCUGCUAACGGGACAGGUGCUUUGCCCAGGGAGCCUCUCUCCUUCCCCCCCGCAUCUGCACGCUUCCGCUUCCUCUUCUUGCUUGCUCCUGCCUCCCAGGUCCCCACGCCGCUGCUUCUUCUUCUUCCUUCUGCAGCAGCAGCAGCUCCU
rnacentral:lncRNA from 1 species